UAGCGAACAAGUACCGUGAGGGAAAGGUGAAAAGCACCCCGAUGAGGGGAGUGAAAGAGACCUGAAACCGAACACCUACAAGCAGUCGGAGCCUCCUUGCGGGGUGACGGCGUACCUUUUGUAUAAUGGGUCAGCGACUUACAUUCAGUGGCGAGGUUAACCGAAUAGGGUAGCCGUAGAGAAAUCGAGUCUUAAUAGGGCGUUUAGUUGCUGGGUAUAGACCCGAAACCAGGUGAUCUAUCCAUGAGCAGG
rnacentral:rRNA from 1 species